UGUGCAGUUUUAUGUAGACUAAGCCAAAGCUACAAAGCACAGCUACGUUUCUUAAUAUUUGACAAUAUUCCCCAUCGCAUUCGAGUUGUUUUUUCAUGCCCAUCAGCUACAUUAACUACACCUCGACUUCCGAAGCAUUUGAUAAUGCAAAUGCAUUCAUUCUUUCUCGGGUCACUAUAAGAUCCCCUUUAAAUUUUAGUAGCCACUGAUGCUUGCGCAUACUAGAUACAUGAAAAUAGUUUAGCUACUCCGACGUGAUACUAUUGGGGAAGGUUGCCAGUCUGGUAGAAAGCAGCUGAUGGCAGCAUUGCAUUUCACAUCAUGUAAUGGCUUAAGGAGACCUUUUUCUCAUGUAACCUGCUCUCCACAGGACACAGAACUGAAGGAAACUAAUUUCACAGCAAUUUUUAAGGCUGAUUUAGAGAGAAUUUCUUUAGAACAGCCAGACAAGUAGUAUUGCUUAUUAUGCAGCACAUUUUAAAUAUCUGAACAUCUCUAAAACACUGCAAUGGUCCGGAAGGGUGGUUCUACAGAGGGGCUGGACAACCCCUCGAUAUUGCCUCCCACUCUUCCAGCACCAUUAAGCACAAAGUAUUGCGGUACCUUCCUGCACCCCCAGCAAAAAUGAAGCAUCAUGGUUUGCCCCCCUAACAGCAAAACUGUGGUCCACGAAGCGAUAAAAUGAAAUGCACUUUCAUCACUGCCAUUAACAGUCCUAUGCAUAAUUCUGUACUGCGGUUCUUCAGCUUGAAGAGCUAAUAUCUGCAGUGGCGAUUCAGUGGCCAACGCAUUCUGCUGCAGUAGACAACGUUGCAGGUUCGACGUCUGGCAGCAUUCCAUUGGUGGAGGUUGCGGGAAUGCAAAAUCACUUAUGUGCUUGGAUUUUGGUGCUAGUUUAAAAAAUUGGCAAGAAACCAUUGGACAAUGAUCGUCAAAGUUGAGUGGCAGCUUCCCAGUAGACCUGCCAAGAUUUCCUUGGUGGGACUGUUGGUUGAUGUUAGGAGCAUAUGUGGGUGCUGUAACGGCGCGCAGGUUCCAUGAUCGGCCCACAUUGAAACCCUUACGAGUAGAUGCACCGUGCACUUUCAUAAUCGGCCCAACAAGUUGCCAUUCCAAGGUCGGCGCAGUUUACUUGGCCACACAGCCGUCCAAGCAGAAUGAAGAGGAAGAGUCGUAGAAAGCUUCACUUUAAAACUGUAGGCAAUGAAAUUUAGUCCCCAGACCCCACUGUAGCAUUUCUUAUAACUAAGCUGUGGCUUUGCAGCAUGAAAUCCCAUUAUUUAACCAAACGAGCUCACAAACAACAGUAUACUUUCCAAACUUGUAGCAAGAAAGCAGUAGUUGCUGUGCUUGAACAUGAAGGAUCUAUCGUAGGUAUCCAGGAUUGAUGUUAAAAAUACGGUUUCAGAUCAAGCUCCUCUGAGAAUAACCACAACGUUUCUGCUGUGCUACAGCAUCUUAUGCGAAGAAGAAACUAGUAUAUUCCACACAAGGACAGAUUUAACAACACAGGCACUAUGAAUAUUCCUCCGUUGCCUCUUUAUUUCAUUAAACUACAAAAAAAAAUCUAAUUCCAGUCACUAAUAGCGGUGCCACAAGUGCACAUUCAAUGAGAGCUGAACAGUAUUGCAUUUGAAUCGCUCAAGGCAUGACUGUGGCUCUGCAGAAGUUAUCACUGCUGCUCAACAUAAGCAUGUCACAUGAACAACUUGCAGACAAUAAAAUCACACCACAGUAAAGCUAACGUGACAUCAGACUGGUCGAUUCAGAACGCCUCAAUAGCACUACAAACAUCAUGUAAGCAAACCACAUAGCCUUACUGAGAGUGCAAAAUGGCUGUGAUUAUGAUGAUGAACUCAUGUCAUUAGUACUAGGCCCACCUAUUGUGUAAGCCAUAUUUAAAGCUGUUUUACAAAA